UUCCAUAUUCGUGAUAAUGAUAAAGAGUUAUUAAUCAAUGAUAACGUAGAGUUCAAUGAUCACAGAUAUUUCCUGAAAUUUUUUGAAAAUUCCCGCCCACCGAUCGACCUGAGUCGUCAUGCGCAAUCCACUUCAUUAUAAGUGCAGUCUGCACCAAGUUUUCUUGGAGUACGCAGCUCAUCACAUUUUGUUUUUUCAAUUUAGAGUUAAUUUUGUGUUAAUAGCGAUUCAUCUCUCAUAUAAGAUUAUUUCACGAAAAAUAAAAAGGUUUUUUGCAUAAAAUGUACACAAUUUGUUACUGCACAACACGUUUCCCCCCAUUUUGCUAAUGUUUAAGAAAGAACUUUAAUAUUUUUUUCGCGGUUUUCACUCCACAAAUUUCACUAAGAUGCUUCUCCACUAUGAUGUAAUAUAUACGAUGUUUGUUAAUCCCUUUGUAAUGUAGUACUAAAUACGACGUCGUGCCUGAAGACGGUUACAUAGUUAACCGAAACAGAUCUGUACCACCGAAAUUCCUCUAUAAUAAAUUAGUCAUCGUUUUAUGCAAAUAUUGUGGUUUUUAUAUUCUUUUACGAAAAAUGAUGAACCUGGAGGUAAACAUCGCCA